AUCAAUUACUGCUGGGGACACAUUUGAUAUUGGACACACAUUAUACAUGAGUAAAGACACAAAAACCCCUGUUCUAACCAAACCAGAGUCUCAUUGUUCAACUACACACAUGAGACAUACAUACUAUCUCACACGUGUGUGAAUUGUAUCCUAAUCCCAUCAAAAACUCAAACAUCUUCACAUUAGCUCAACCAUAGAUCUCUGACUCAUCCUUCCUUUCUCCCAGUCAAUUGUUCUUCUCCUUCAAUCAAACGUGCAACCAUCUCAAACAACUCUCCUAUAACUCCAAUCUAGUUUCCCAAAUCUCUGUAUCCUAAACCCUUCUCUUCUUUUUUCUUGUUAAAAAAUCCCUUCCCUUCUAAUCCAUCUUAUUUUGUUGUCUUUCAAAAAUCUCUUCCCUUUUAAUUUAAAAAAAAAAGAAAGAAAACUAAGAGAAGAAGACCAUCUCAAUCUAUCACCAGAUUCUUGUAUUCAUCUCUCUUUUUUAAUAGGUCUUGUCUACCAACCAUCUCAAUCUAUCACCAACUUAGAGGAAUUUUCACCUCCGAAGAAACUCGCGACGGAGGAGACAUGAAAUCAGUGGCGGAGAAGACAUGAAAUCAACGGCGGAGGAGACAAUUUAUUAGAGCUGAUCUUGCCUCAGAUCGAAGCCGUUAAACGAAGUUGAUGGAAACCAAAAAAAGCUGGAUCCUUUAUCAAGAUUUUGUUUGUCUCUGCAAUGAUUUGUUCAGAUCUUCUGCAAUGAUUUGUUCGGAUCUUGCUAGAAACUAACCUGAACCAGACAUAAGGAUCCGAAUUCUCAGGUUAAAUGUGUACAAAACCUAAUAUUCAUAACUUGUGUCCACAUGAUAUAUGUCCACAUGAUACAUGUCCACAAAUCUGAUAUCCAUAUCUGAAUAUUAGUCAUAUGCACAUAACUCACUCAACUCAAGCACUAAAACUUGUAUAGAAACAAACCAAAUGUCUACUUAUUUUAGUCUAAGACUCAAAUGUGUUACUCUUUUAUCGUCCACGACUUGUUUGUCCAUAUUUUGAACUUUUCUUGUCGGCGUUUUUCUUGUCUACAUAUUUUGUGUCCACAAGUUUAACUUACA
rnacentral:lncRNA from 1 species